rnacentral:rRNA from 1 species
GUGGGGAAUAUUGCACAAUGGGCGCAAGCCUGAUGCAGCCAUGCCGCGUGUAUGAAGAAGGCCUUCGGGUUGUAAAGUACUUUCAGCGAGGAGGAAGGCAUUAAGGUUAAUAACCUUAGUGAUUGACGUUACUCGCAGAAGAAGCACCGGCUAACUCCGUGCCAGCAGCCGCGGUAAUACGGAGGGUGCAAGCGUUAAUCGGAAUUACUGGGCGUAAAGCGCACGCAGGCGGUUUGUUAAGUCAGAUGUGAAAUCCCCGGGCUCAACCUGGGAACUGCAUUUGAAACUGGCAAGCUUGAGUCUUGUAGAGGGGGGUAGAAUUCCAGGUGUAGCGGUGAAAUGCGUAGAGAUCUGGAGGAAUACCGGUGGCGAAGGCGGCCCCCUGGACAAAGACUGACGCUCAGGUGCGAAAGCGUGGGGAGCAAACAGGA